rnacentral:lncRNA from 1 species
GGGUACCAAAAAUGGGAUGCGGGAAUUUUUUUUUAAAAAAAAUUUUGUCGCGCAAAACUUUGCGAGACCAAUAUGUUUCGUCGCGCAAAACUUUGCGCGACCAACAAUAUGUUUCGUCGCGCAAAGUGAUACGAUUUUUAAAACCAAAAUAACUCCUCCACCAUUUUCUCAAUGCCUUUCUCUACUCUUAUCUCUCCUCUCUCUUUCCCUCUCCCCAAAUUCCACCCUUUCUCUCACACUCACUCCUCUCACUUAAUCUCUCAUAUCUCUCUUCACUAUCUCUCACUCUCACUCACUCUCUCAUCUAUCUUUUCACUAUCUCUCACUCUCUCAUCUCUCUAUCACUAUCUUAUCUAAUUCUCUCACACUCACUUCUCC